CUUGGUCAUUUAGAGGAAGUAAAAGUCGUAACAAGGUUUCCGUAGGUGAACCUGCGGAAGGAUCAUUAUCGUACAAAAUGUGUGAGGCAUGCAAGGGCUGUCGCUGACUUUUUAAUCACAAAAAGUCGUGCACGCCGGAGCGUGUCCUCUCGCAUAAAAUCCAUCUCACCCUUUUGUGCACCACCGCGUGGGCACCCUUUGGGAUCGAACCGAUCCAGGAGGGCGCUUGCGUUUUCACACAAACCCCCUUAUAAAAGUGUAGAAUGACCCCAUUUUUGCGAUAACACGCAAUCAAUACAACUUUCAACAACGGAUCUCUUGGCUCUUGCAUCGAUGAAGAACGCAGCGAAAUGCGAUACGUAAUGUGAAUUGCAGAAUUCAGUGAAUCAUCGAAUCUUUGAACGCACCUUGCGCCCCUUGGUAUUCCGAGGGGCACACCCGUUUGAGUGUCGUGAAAAUCUCAACCUCCUCGGUUUCUUCUGGACGCCGAAGGAGGCUUGGACUUUGGAGGCCUUUGCUGGCGUCUCUCGCCAGCUCCUCUCAAAUGAAUUAGCGGGGUCCUCUUUGCCGAUCCUCGACGUGUGAUAAGAUGUUUCCAUGUCUUGGUUUCUGGCUCUGUCGCCUUUGGGACCCGCUUCUAACCGUCUCAAGUCGAGACAACGUUUUGAGCGUGUCUCCCUUCUCGGGAGACACCCUCGAGCCCACGAACCCUUGACCUCAAAUCGGGUGAGACUACCCGCUGAACUUAAGCAUAUCAAUAAGCGGAGGA
rnacentral:rRNA from 1 species